AUUGAACGCUGGCGGCAGGCCUAACACAUGCAAGUCGGACGGUAGCACAGAGGAGCUUGCUCCUCGGGUGACGAGUGGCGGACGGGUGAGUAAUGUCUGGGGAUCUGCCCGAUAGAGGGGGAUAACCACUGGAAACGGUGGCUAAUACCGCAUAACGUCGCAAGACCAAAGAGGGGGACCUUCGGGCCUCUCACUAUCGGAUGAACCCAGAUGGGAUUAGCUAGUAGGCGGGGUAACGGCCCACCUAGGCGACGAUCCCUAGCUGGUCUGAGAGGAGGAACAGCCACACUGGAACUGAGACACGGUCCAGACUCCUACGGGAGGCAGCAGUGGGGAAUAUUGCACAAUGGGCGCAAGCCUGAUGCAGCCAUGCCGCGUGUAUGAAGAAGGCCUUCGGGUUGUAAAGUACUUUCAGCGGGGAGGAAGGCGAUGUGGUUAAUAACCGCGUCGAUUGACGUUACCCGCAGAAGAAGCACCGGCUAACUCCGUGCCAGCCGCCGCAGUAA
rnacentral:rRNA from 1 species